UACGUAGGGUGCAAGCGUUGUCCGGAAUUAUUGGGCGUAAAGAGCUCGUAGGCGGUCUGUCGCGUCGGAUGUGAAAAUCCAGGGCUCAACCCUGGACCUGCAUUCGAUACGGGCAGGCUAGAAUUCGGUAGGGGAGACUGGAAUUCCUGGUGUAGCGGUGAAAUGCGCAGAUAUCAGGAGGAACACCGGUGGCGAAGGCGGGUCUCUGGGCCGAUAUUGACGCUGAGGAGCGAAAGCGUGGGGAGCGAACAGG
rnacentral:rRNA from 1 species